rnacentral:rRNA from 1 species
UCGUAGGCGGCUUGUCACGUCGGUUGUGAAAGCCCGGGGCUUAACCCCGGGUCUGCAGUCGAUACGGGCAGGCUAGAGUUCGGUAGGGGAGAUCGGAAUUCCUGGUGUAGCGGUGAAAUGCGCAGAUAUCAGGAGGAACACCGGUGGCGAAGGCGGAUCUCUGGGCCGAUACUGACGCUGAGGAGCGAAAGCGUGGGGAGCGAACAGGAUUAGAUACCCUGGUAGUCCACGCCGUAAACGGUGGGCACUAGGUGUGGGCAACAUUCCACGUUGUCCGUGCCGCAGCUAACGCAUUAAGUGCCCCGCCUGGGGAGUACGGCCGCAAGGCUAAAACUCAAAGGAAUUGACGGGGGCCCGCACAAGCGGCGGAGCAUGUGGCUUAAUUCGACGCAACGCGAAGAACCUUACCAAGGCUUGACAUACACCGGAAAACCCUGGAGACAGG